rnacentral:rRNA from 1 species
UACGAAGGGGGCUAGCGUUGCUCGGAAUCACUGGGCGUAAAGGGUGCGUAGGCGGGUUAUUAAGUCAGAGGUGAAAUCCUGGAGCUCAACUCCAGAACUGCCUUUGAUACUGAUAGUCUUGAGUAUGGGAGAGGUGAGUGGAACUGCGAGUGUAGAGGUGAAAUUCGUAGAUAUUCGCAAGAACACCAGUGGCGAAGGCGGCUCGAC